AUACGUAGGUGGCGAGCGUUGUCCGGAAUUACUGGGUGUAAAGGGCGCGUAGGCGGGUAUGCAAGUCAGAUGUGAAACCCCGAGGCUCAACCUUGGGCUUGCAUCUGAAACUGUAUAUCUUGAGUGUUGGAGAGGGAAGUGGAAUUCCUAGUGUAGCGGUGAAAUGCGUAGAGAUUAGGAGGAACACCAGUGGCGAAGGCGACUUCCUGGCCAAUAACUGACGCUGAGGCGCGAAAGCGUGGGGAGCAAACAGGAUUAGAUACCCUGGUAGUCCACGCCGUAAACGAUGGAUACUAGGUGUAGGUGAUGAAAAAUCAUCUGUGCCGAAGUUAACACAUUAAGUAUCCCACCUGGGGAGUACGGCCGCAAGGUUGAA
rnacentral:rRNA from 1 species